rnacentral:lncRNA from 1 species
AGGCACCGUGCCAGGUCUGGAGGUUGCCACAGUUCCCGAGUGUGGCCGAGCAGAGCCUCCUGGGAGGCUGGGUGACCCGCGCCCAUGGCCCUCUCUCUGGAGGACUCCAUGAGCUGAUCUCUCACUCACGCUCCUGAGCUCUGCGCCUCAGACAGAGCAGGACUCGGCAUGGAGUCUGCAGUCGGGGUGGCACCAUCGUGUGCCAGCCGCCCCUCAGACCCCAGGCCCAGGGCCACCUAGGAAACGUUCAUCCUGGAACCCACUCACGGGGUGUGGGCACUGCCGUCCCCUGCCUGCUCCUGGGGCCCCCCCUUCCUGACUGGGGCUGCCAGGCUGGGAGCAGCUGCUGAAGGGCAGUGCCCGAGGAGCAGGAGAGGGGGCGGAGGGGAGAGGCCCAGUUCAUGUGGGAGAGGAGCCGGUUGGCACUUGCAGGGCGUUCUGUGAGCCUGGAGGCAGGGAGGUACCAUUUGGGGGACUCUUCAUGGUUCCAAGCUGUGGCCUUGAACAAGACGGUGCCUCUUGCUUAGAGCUUCGCGUCUCUGACGACAGGAUGGGGUGCCAUGGCUGGGGCUCCUCCUGGCUCUGCCGAAUCAGGUAGCCGGGCCGGCAGCCUGCACCUCUGAGCCAGUCCCCAGCUCUUUGCUUCCCUCUAAACUCUUGUCCCCGAGAGACCUGGGGACACUGAGGUCUGAAAAGCAGGAAGCAGCCCUGCACCACCAGUCAGGUCUCCAGAGACGCAGAGCCACAGGGUCCACGUGGACCCCACCCUCCCCACCUCUCCAUCUGUCUGUCACCCAUCCACCAUCUAUCUAUCUAUCCAUCCAAUCUGAUCUAGCUGCUGCCUAUCUACCCAUCUACCCAUCCAUGACCUAUCAUCUGUCUACCCUUUACCUACCUGUCCAUCUGUCCAUCAACCAUGUCCGUUUCUAGCCAUCCAUCCAUGACUUACUUAUGGCCUAUCUACUACCUACUAUUAUCUAUACAUCCUGUUUAAUCUCUCUGCUUUCUGUCCACCUGCCCACCUACCCAUGAACUAUCAUCUGUCUACCUUUAUCUAUCCUCCCUAUCUAUUCAUCCACAAUAUAGCUAUCGUCUUUCUACUAUUUAUUUAUCUAUCCAUCCAUGGUUUGGCUAUUGUCUAUGUACUGUCUGUCUAUCCAUUCUAUCUGCCUACUUUCCUAACCACUCAUCCAUCCAUCAUCUAUUAUCUACUAUUUUCUGCCCAUCCUAUCUACCUACCUCCCUA